UCUUUAUCACAACACAUAAUAAUAAAUAAUAAAUAAUAAUCCAAAUUGUUAACAUCGUAAGUUAAUAAUAUCAAAUUGUUCAAAUACAGCAAAAACCUUUGACAUGUACCUAUUAUGGGCUAAUAUAGAUUAGACGAUGUAUUUAUAUAAUAUCUCAUAAAAGUACCAAAUAAUAUUAUGAUAUUAUGUUGUUACAUACUUCUAUCAAAAUGUUUACAAGAAUUCAAUGUAUCUUAUAGAAGCAAAAAUACAUUGAAAAUGUCGCAUUACAAGAUUUUGAUACGUGUUCAUAGAAUUAUCUAAGUAUAUUUAGCACCUUACCUUUUUAGUGUUAUUGUUGUAUGCACAAUGCACAUUAAGCAACAGUUCACUAAAAAUAAAUAUUUUGCAAUAUUUAUAAUGCGUCAUCUAAAUCAAGAUAGGUAUAACGCACUUUCAAUAACUGAAGUCUGCUCGUCCUUUCAUUUGUUUCUAGGGAGGACAUUAAGACGGUCAAUGAAUCAUCAGCUGAUAUUCUUUCAAUAUUUCUAGACCUGGUGGAAUUUGAUGAUCAAUCUAAAAGAAAAUUGCUUCUUCUCAAAAGAAACAUUGAAAGGCUGUUGAAAAUUAAAAAUAGAAGUUUCUGCUGUCACUGGAAUAUGGAGAACACCCACUGCCACGCCGGAGCAACUAAUCUAAAAAAGGAGCCGACCGACGAAACCAGCGAGACCCAAGACGCCACCCGACCACCCAAGGACUAGAUACGACGACCAGAGCGGCCAAUACGAACGCCUAAUCGUCCUACGCCGCUGCUCGCAUUCAGUACGGAGGUCGAGGACUACGAAGAGUCGCCGAACACACGGUGGAGCCAGCCACGACGAGCGAUCCAAGUUCACGGGAUUCCAAAGACCACUGUCGGACCAGAUUGUCAACGAACCCGUGCUCAGAACUCGUAGAACAAACGCACAAAUCCCCCCAAGCGCGCCUGCAUAGGCCACGCUACCCGUUCGGGAAUACGAACCAACGCCACUUAUUUGAGCGGGCCGGAUGUAUCCACCCGGAUCUUCCUCAACUGUAAAUAACUGUAAAUAACUCAUUCCCCUCAUUGUCAAGGUGGUCUCGACCCCGUGAACCAUACCAUACGGUCACGCGGACGUGAACCAUCAUCCCCAUACCUUAUAUAACAUUAUAUAUAAAAAAUAAAGACACGUUGAUUAC
rnacentral:lncRNA from 1 species